rnacentral:rRNA from 1 species
AACGAACGCUGGCGGCGUGGAUAAGACAUGCAAGUCGAACGGAAUAGCAUGGUAGCAAUAUUAAGCUAUUUAGUGGCGAACGGGUGCGUAACACGUGGACAACAUUCCGAAAAGCGGGGAAUAGCCCAGGGAAACUUGGAUUAAUGCCCCAUGUGGUCGUAAGACUAAAGGCGCAAGCCGCUUUUUGAUUGGUCCGCGGCCUAUCAGCUUGUUGGCGGGGUAACGGCCCACCAAGGUUACGACGGGUAGCUGGUCUUAGAGGACGAACAGCCACACUGGAACUGAGACACGGUCCAGACACCUACGGGUGGCAGCAGUCGAGAAUCUUUCACAAUGGGGGAAACCCUGAUGGAGCGACGCCGCGUGGAGGAUAAGGUCUUCGGAUUGUAAACUCCUGUCAUGCGAGAACAAAGCCUCACGGCCUGAUAGUAUCGCAAGAGGAAGAGACGGCUAACUCUGUGCCAGCCGCCGCCGUAACAC